UACGUAGGGAGCAAGCGUUGUCCGGAAUCAUUGGGCGUAAAGAGCUCGUAGGCGGCUUGUCACGUCUGCUGUGAAAUCCCGGGGCUCAACCCCGGGCGUGCAGUGGAUACGGGCUGGCUAGAGGCAGGCAGGGGAGAACGGAAUUCCCGGUGUAGCGGUGAAAUGCGCAGAUAUCAGGAGGAACACCAAUGGCGAAGGCAGCACUCUGGGACGUGACUGACGCUGAGACGCGAAAGCGUGGGGAGCAAACAGG
rnacentral:rRNA from 1 species